UCGUCUCGCACGUUGGGCCUCAUUUUGAUUACACGAAGUCUCCGUAACUUUUUGUGCCCCAGUUUCUUUCUUUUACCUAAAAAUACAAACGAAUAAACUGCAUCAUACAGUGUGCCUAAGAUUAUACAGAAUGCCUGAGGUUUUAGAAACAAGUUUGGGUGCUAGGCUGCUAAAGCAAAGAGUUUCUUCAAGAGUAAGAAAAGGCCAAUGAGAGGGACUUGUACCUUAUGUAUCAUGCGUCUUAGAUUUUUUAAACAGUUUUCGCAACUACCGCUAGAUCUCCUUACGCAUCAUCGAGAAAUCCUCACGAAAAUGUAAGAAGCAAUCCCGCGCAGACCAUGUUAUGCAUUGACAAAAAUUGUUAUGACGAUGGAAGACGCAACUCCGCGCAGACCAUCUUACGCAUCGUCUGGAAAUUGUCCUGAAGAUGUAAGACGCAACCUCGCGCAGACCACCUUACGCAUGGUCUGCAAAACGUCACGAAGAUGUAAGACGUAACUCCGCGCGGACCAUCUUAUGCAUCGUCUGGAAGUCAUCACGAAAAUGUGGGAAACAACCCGCGCAGACCAUCUUACGCAUGGUCUGGAAAUUGCCAUGAAGAUGUAAGACGCAACUCCGCGCAGACCACCUUAAGCAUCGUC